UGUCCUAAUAUUAAAAUGAAGUCAGAUUGACAGAAGAGUUUUCUAUUUAAAUUUGAAAGAAGUGUUAGUAUAUUUGUUUUGUUAUACUUUUUCAUUUGUUCUUAACUAGUUUGUUGAUAUAAAAGUUUUCUAUUUAAUGUAUAAUAAUAAAAUAUUCCUUUGUCUAUAUAAAACAUUAUACAAUUGUAAUUUCUCCCCGAUUAAUUAAGGAUGUCUUCAUCAAAUAUAGAGGAGCAUAAAAUUUGGUGUACGCUAGCAAACAAAAAAUUGCAGUCCAUCUAUAACCAGCUCUGUGAAUUCGAAAGUUCACUCUGCGAAGAACAAGAAGACUCACCCAAACUCUUUGAGCUUUUAGAAACAAUAGACGAAAUUCAAGGACACCAUCGGUCCGUUGUGCGUACCAUCCAAUCUAGUAAUGAUACCCUAAGUGAAAAAUGCAACGAUCUGCAAACACAAAUGGAACUUUUAGAGAAAUCAAUUGAUCUUCUGAAAUUGGAAACUAGUAAAUAAAAUAUUCAAAUACGAGUUAAUUCAAAGAAUGAUUGUUUGUAAACUUAGAGUAUAAUUAAUAAAAAUAAUUUAAGCAAAAUUGUAAAAAGUCAAAAUA